rnacentral:rRNA from 1 species
UGCAGUCGAGCGAUGGAUUGAGAGCUUGCUCUCAWGAAGUUAGCGGCGGACGGGUGAGUAACACGUGGGUAACCUGCCCAUAAGACUGGGAUAACUCCGGGAAACCGGGGCUAAUACCGGAUAAYAUUUUGAACUGCAUGGUUCGAAAUUGAAAGGCGGCUUCGGCUGUCACUUAUGGAUGGACCCGCGUCGCAUUAGCUAGUUGGUGAGGUAACGGCUCACCAAGGCAACGAUGCGUAGCCGACCUGAGAGGGUGAUCGGCCACACUGGGACUGAGACACGGCCCAGACUCCUACGGGAGGCAGCAGUAGGGAAUCUUCCGCAAUGGACGAAAGUCUGACGGAGCAACGCCGCGUGAGUGAUGAAGGCUUUCGGGUCGUAAAACUCUGUUGUUAGGGAAGAACAAGUGCUAGUUGAAUWAKYUGGCACCUUGACGGUACCUAACCAGAAAGCCACGGCUAACUACGUGCCAGCAGCCGCGGUAAUACGUAGGUGGCAAGCGUUAUCCGGAAUUAUUGGGCGUAAAGCGCGCGCAGGUGGUUUCUUAAGUCUGAUGUG